GCUCUGACGCCUGCCCGGUGCCGGAAGGUUAAGAGGAUCCGUCAGGCUUCGGCCGAAGCGGUGAAUUCAAGCCCCGGUAAACGGCGGUGGUAACUAUAACCAUCCUAAGGUAGCGAAAUUCCUUGUCGGGUAAGUUCCGACCUGCACGAAUGGCGUAACGACUUCCCCACUGUCUCGACCAGGAGCUCGGCGAAAUUGCAGUACGAGUAAAGAUGCUCGUUAAGCGCAGAAGGACGAAAAGACCCCGGGACCUUUACUAUACCUUGGUAUUGGCAUUCGGUGUGGAUUGUGUAGCAUAGGCGGAAGGCUUCGAAGCCACGGCGCCAGCCGCGGUGGAGCCGCAAGGUGAAAUACCGCUCUGUUCGCAUUGGAUGUCUAACCUCGACCAGUCAUCCUGGUCAGGGACAGUGCCUGGCGGGUAGUUUAACUGGGGCGGUUGCCUCCCAAAGAGUAACGGAGGCGCUCAAAGGUUCCCUCAGCCCGGUUGGCAAUCGGGUGGCGAGUGUAAGUGCACAAGGGAGCUUGACUGCGAGACUGACGGGUCGAGCAGGGACGAAAGUCGGAACUAGUGAUCCGGUGCCGGUGUACGGACGCGGCAUCGCUCAACGGAUAAAAGGUACCCCGGGGAUAACAGGCUGAUCAUUCCCAAGAGUCCAUAUCGACGGGAUGGUUUGGCACCUCGAUGUCGGCUCGUCGCAUCCUGGGGCUGGAGCAGGUCCCAAGGGUUCGGCUGUUCGCCGAUUAAAGCGGCACGCGAGCUGGGUUCAGAACGUCGUGAGACAGUUUGGUCUCUAUCCUCUGCGCUCGUCGGAAUGUUGAGGAGGCCUGCCCAUAGUACGAGAGGACCUGGGUGGACGAACCUCUGGUAUGCCGGUUGUCACGCCAGUGGCACGGCCGGUUGGCUACGUUCGGAAGGGAUAACCGCUGAAAGCAUCUAAGCGGGAAGCCUGCUCCAAGAUAAGCAUUCCAUAGGACUACGGGUCCUUGAAGUCCCCAUGCAGAACACGUGGUUGAUAGGCCGGACGUGGAAGCCCCGCGAGGGGUGGAGCCGACCGGUACUAACGGACGAAAGGCAACACAAC
rnacentral:rRNA from 1 species